rnacentral:tRNA from 36 species
GGGUCGUUAGCUCAGUUGGUAGAGCAGCGGACUUUUAAUCCGUUGGUCGCGUGUUCGAGUCACGCACGGCCUACCA